rnacentral:misc_RNA from 1 species
AAAACAGAUUCUCAUCCACUCCCUAGCUGGGACAAACUCAGCACCACGGUCAGCAAUGCGACCGACAAGGUCAAUACAGUUCUCUUGAACCUUCUCGUGUCUGUUCUUCAAAAUGGGUGUCAAGCGAGGAAGCAGAUCCUUGAUUGGAGGAGUCAUCUUGGUCAUACCGAUAACAUUGACUAUAGCUUUCAGAGCUCCUAGGAUAGAGCCUAACACCUCCGGAUACUCCUCUCCCAAAUACUCGUACAGAACAACACCCAAAUGUCCCAUCAGUUGUUCUUCCUGGCACUGCUUCAUG